rnacentral:rRNA from 1 species
ACUCGAGUGGCGAACGGGUGAGUAACACGUGGGUGAUCUGCCCUGCACUCUGGGAUAAGCCUGGGAAACUGGGUCUAAUACCGGAUAGGACCACACACUUCAUGGUGAGUGGUGCAAAGCUUUUGCGGUGUGGGAUGAGCCCGCGGCCUAUCAGCUUGUUGGUGGGGUAAUGGCCCACCAAGGCGACGACGGGUAGCCGGCCUGAGAGGGUGACCGGCCACACUGGGACUGAGAUACGGCCCAGACUCCUACGGGAGGCAGCAGUGGGGAAUAUUGCACAAUGGGCGCAAGCCUGAUGCAGCGACGCCGCGUGAGGGAUGACGGCCUUCGGGUUGUAAACCUCUUUCAGUAGGGACGAAGCGAAAGUGACGGUACCUACAGAAGAAGGACCGGCCAACUACGUGCCAGCAGCCGCGGUAAUACGUAGGGUCCGAGCGUUGUCCGGAAUUACUG